rnacentral:rRNA from 1 species
AUGUUGGGCGAGACCCAGCUGCCCGUGACGGCGCUGAUCGGUCGGAAGCGGCGCUGGGACAAGGACGCCGCCGCCGCCAGCUACGAAGAAGCCAGCGAUGGCGAUGGUGCCCCGAAGGAGCAAGCCCCUAUGGCUAUGGAGAUCGCGGCUAGCCCAACAACCCGUGACGAGGAGAAGCAGGAGGACGAGGAUAUGGCUGUUCCGGCCUGCAAGAUGGGUGAGCAACCCCUUACGGAAAUUGAAAGUUCGACUGUCUCGACUGUGGAGGAGAAGGAAGUGACCAAGGAGCCUGAGAUUCCAAUGUGGGACAGCGAUGAUGAUGGUGAGUUUAUGCUCAAGGCAAAGGCAGAGCUCGAGGAGCUUCACAUUGCCUGUGUCAAAAGCAUCACCGAAUUGGAUCCUAAGUCGAAACUCUUGGUCCCUACUCGCUUCUGCAGCUUCAAUAUAGCCGGCUUCGACCUCGAUAAAGAGUCUAAGUUUGGCCUUGGGCCGCCGCUUGACAGCAAUAUAACUCCUGAGUUGGAGAAGUACAUGGUGUCGUCAGCCGUCAACGUCAUUUCCGUCAAAGUAAUCGAGUCUGACCGGGGUUAUCCAAUAAGCGUAUAUGGUACUGUUCUUGCAAGGGAUAGGAUUGACUACAGAUGUAUCUAUCUGUUCAGACGUGGAAGGGAAGACCCCCAGAUGAUCAGCUCCAAGGAUGAUAUGCUAACAUUGACAGGUCCACGACGGGCAUUAGUUCCGCCGGAUAAUAUUUACUUUGAGUUCAAUCUGAGGGUGAAGGGUGAUGCUGGAGACGGAGAUUUUAGCAAAGGUGUAAUACAGCUCCAUGUCGUUCCCUAUGACCCUGAACCAAUCACAAGGGUGCUUAGUAGUUGGCUGAGCAGAGUGGAGUUGGUUCUCGCACCUGUUGAUGGUCCAGUGGCAGCUAGCCUUGAAGUCAAGAUUUUGAAAGGAGCACCACCUUUCAUUGGCAAAAUAUGUGCUGGGACUAGUGAAAAUCCUGAGACGCAGAUGAUUGUGUAUGAUAGUAGAGAUAUGAAGAGCGAUUCCUCUGUUGUGUUAAGUCGUAACUUGGUAGCUGUCCCUGACCCGGAUGAUGAAGAAGAGGAAAUUAUCGUCCAUGUUCGCUUCCUUGUCGAUGGCGAUGAUGUCGAUGACGAGGAUGCAGGCACCUUGGUCAGCGUAGCAUACCCUGCUGAAGAGCAAGUCUGCAGUCACGGCGCUUGA